rnacentral:lncRNA from 1 species
GUGACGCUGUAUUUACCAGCGCUGUCCGUGUGGGCUUCUCUGUCGUCCAUGUUGUAUCUUGCGCUGUACAAGUCAAUCCAAAGAUGGACCUUGAGAUUCUUCUCGAGAGCACCGUCACAUAUAAAAGCGUUUCCAUUCAACUGUAUCUAAACACAGCUUAUAUUGAAGCAACAAAAAAAGUCAACAGAAAAAGUUG